rnacentral:rRNA from 1 species
GACGUAGGGUCCAAGCGUUGUCCGGAUUUACUGGGCGUAAAGAGCGCGUAGGCGGCUCGUUAAGUGUGAAGUGAAAUCUCCAGGGCUCAACCCGGAAACUGCUUUACAUACUGGCGAGCUGGAGUGAUGAAGAGGUUUGUGGAAUUCCAGGUGUAGCGGUGAAAUGCGUAGAUAUCUGGAGGAACACCGGUGGCGAAGGCGGCAUUCUGGACCGAUAUUGACGCUGAGGAGCGAAAGCCAGGGGAGCAAACGGG